rnacentral:rRNA from 1 species
UUAAGACCUCAAAUCAGGUGGGACUACCCGCUGAAC